CAGCCGCCGCGGUAAUACGUAGGUGGCAAGCGUUGUCCGGAAUUAUUGGGCGUAAAGGGCUCGCAGGCGGUUUCUUAAGUCUGAUGUGAAAGCCCCCGGCUCAACCGGGGAGGGUCAUUGGAAACUGGGAAACUUGAGUGCAGAAGAGGGGAGUGGAAUUCCACGUGUAGCGGUGAAAUGCGUAGAGAUGUGGAGGAACACCAGUGGCGAAGGCGACUCUCUGGUCUGUAACUGACGCUGAGGAGCGAAAGCGUGGGGAGCGAACAGGAUUAGAUACCCGGGUAGUCCCUGUCUCUUAUAC
rnacentral:rRNA from 1 species